UUUACCUACGGGAGGCAGCAGUGGGGAAUAUUGCACAAUGGGGGGAACCCUGAUGCAGCGACGCCGCGUGGGUGAAGAAGUCAUUCGUGACGUAAAGCCCUAUCAGCAGGGAAGAAAAUGACGGUACCUGACUAAGAAGCCCCGGCUAACUACGUGCCAGCAGCCGCGGUAAUACGUAGGGGGCAAGCGUUAUCCGGAUUUACUGGGUGUAAAGGGAGCGUAGACGGCGGCGCAAGUCCGGAGUGAAAGCCCACGGCCCAACCCCGGGACUGCUCUUGGAACUGCGUGGCUAGAGUGCAGGAGGG
rnacentral:rRNA from 1 species